AUGCUGGUGGUGUUGGAUGCUGACAACCACAUGUACCUGGGGCGUGGCUGGGAGCAUUUCGCCUACGCCCGUGACCUGCAGCUCGGACACUUCCUUGUCUUCCGCUACGACAGCUACACCGUGCUCCCCAUGAAGGUGUCGACGGGACCAUGUGCAGCAGGCACUACCAUCACGACGACGAUGCCAGCAAUGGGAGCAGCAGCAGGGAUAAUGAGGAGCAGAGUGGGGAAGAAGAGGAGCAGAGCGGGGAGGUGCAGCCUAUUCUGGCUGACGACGACCUUGCUAUGGUGGUGGCUGACAAUGACCUUGCGAUGGUGGUGGCGGACGAUGACCUCGCGUUUGUGGUGCCUAACGAUGACCUCGUGA
rnacentral:rRNA from 1 species